rnacentral:piRNA from 1 species
UCUUAAGCUGCAAAGGUAACUAACUACUCUC